ACAUACGGGUGCUGCAUGGCUGUCGUCAGCUCGUGUCGUGAGAUGUUCGGUUAAGUCCGCUAACGAGCGCAACCCUCGCUGUGUGUUACAAGUGUCACACGGAACUGCCGGUCAUAACCGGAGGAAGGUGGGGAUGACGUCAAGUCAGCAUGGCCUUUAUAUCCUGGGCUACACACACGCUACAAUGGGAAGGGACAAUAGGUUGCGAAGCCGCGAGGCGGAGCCAAUCCAGCAAAACUUCCCUCAGUUCAGAUUGCAGGCUGCAACUCGCCUGCAUGAAGUUGGAGUUGCUAGUAAACGCAGGUCAGCCAUACUGCGUUGAAUACGUUCCCGGGGCUU
rnacentral:rRNA from 1 species